GACGAACGCUGGCGGCGUGCUUAACACAUGCAAGUCGAACGGACAGGCCCUGCUUUUGUGGGGUGCUCGAGUGGCGAACGGGUGAGUAACACGUGAGUAAACUGCCCUUGACUUUGGGAUAACUUCAGGAAACUGGGGCUAAUACCGGAUAGGAGCUCCUGCUGCAUGGUGGGGGUUGGAAAGUUUCGGCGGUUGGGGAUGGACUCGCGGCUUAUCAGCUUGUUGGUGGGGUAGUGGCUUACCAAGGCUUUGACGGGUAGCCGGCCUGAGAGGGUGACCGGCCACAUUGGGACUGAGAUACGGCCCAGACUCCUACGGGAGGCAGCAGUGGGGAAUAUUGCACAAUGGGCGGAAGCCUGAUGCAGCAACGCCGCGUGCGGGAUGACGGCCUUCGGGUUGUAAACCACUUUCGCCUGUGACGAAGCGUGAGUGACGGUAAUGGGUAAGGAAGCACCGGCUAACUACGUG
rnacentral:rRNA from 1 species